CCUACGGGGGGCAGCAGUGAGGAAUAUUGGUCAAUGGACGAGAGUCUGAACCAGCCAAGUAGCGUGAAGGAUGACUGCCCUAUGGGUUGUAAACUUCUUUUAUAUGGGAAUAAAAUGUUCCACGUGUGGGAUUUUGUAUGUACCAUAUGAAUAAGGAUCGGCUAACUCCGUGCCAGCAGCCGCGGUAAUACGGAGGAUCCGAGCGUUAUCCGGAUUUAUUGGGUUUAAAGGGAGCGUAGGUGGAUUGUUAAGUCAGUUGUGAAAGUGUGCGGCUCAACCGUAAAAUUGCAGUUGAAACUGGCAGUCGUGAGUACAGUAGAGGUGUGCGGAAUGCGUGGUGUAGCGGUGAAAUGCUUAGAUAUCACGAAGAACUCCGAUUGCGAAGGCAGCUCACUGGACUGCAACUGACACUGAGGCUCGAAAGUGUGGGUAUCAAACAGGAUUAGAUACCCGUGUAGUC
rnacentral:rRNA from 1 species